rnacentral:rRNA from 1 species
UACGUAGGGGGCAAGCGUUGUCCGGAAUCAUUGGGCGUAAAGCGCGUGUAGGCGGCCAGGUAGGUCGGUUGUGAAAAUUGGAGGCUCAACCUCCAGACGUCGAUCGAAACCAUCUGGCUAGAGUCCGGAAGAGGAGAGUGGAAUUCCGUGGUGUAGCGGUGAAAUGCGUAGAUAUCUGGAGGAACACCGGUGGCGAAGGCGGCAUCCUGGACCAACACUGACGCUGAUGAGCGAAAGCCAGGGGAGCAAACGGG